CAAGUACUCCCUCCAUCCGGAAUUACUUGUCAUCAAAAUGGAUGUGUCUAGAACUAAAAUACAUCUAGAUACAUCCAUUUCAAUGACAAGUAUUUUCGAACGAAGGGAGUACAAG
rnacentral:pre_miRNA from 1 species